AAGAUCUUAGGUACCUUUCCCCCUGCAUCCUUGAGUUUAAGGAGACAAGAAACUAGUUCCGAUGGAAGAAUCAUGAUUGUGUGAUUAGAGUUGUGAUUAACAACUACCUUGAUCUUUGGAUCCCUGGUGCAGUAGAUGAUCGAUAUCCUUUUCCUUUGCAAGCUUGAGAUGAUCACACAAUAUUUUGACAGGCA
rnacentral:snoRNA from 1 species